UUCUGGUUGAUCCCGCCAGACCCGACUGCUAUUUGGGUGAGAAUAAGCCAUGCGAGUUGAAUGGGAUACCUAAAGUUCCCAUAGCAAACUGCUCAGUAACACAUGAUCAACUUACCCUAUAGAGAAAAAUAACCCCGGGAAACUGAGGAUAAUGUUUCAUAAUUGAAUUGGCUUGGAAAAGUUUUUCAAUGAAAAGGAUAAAAAAAAUGGUUUUUAUCUGCUAUAGGAUAGGAUCGUGUUCGAUUAUGGUUGUUGGUGAGAUAAUGGCUCACCAAGCCGAUAAUCGAUAGGGGCCGUGAGAGCGGGAGCCCCGAGAUGGGUACUGAGACAACGACCCAGGCCUUACGAGGCGCAGCAGGCGCGGAACCUCCGCAAUACACGAAAGUGUGACGGGGUUACCCAAAGUGUUCAAUAGAACUGUGGUAGGUGAGUAAUGUCCCCUACUAGAAAGGAGAGGGCAAGGCUGGUGCCAGCCGCCGCGGUAAAACCAGCUCUUCAAGUGGUCGGGAUAAUUAUUGGGCUUAAAGUGUCCGUAGCCGGUUUAGUAAGUUCCUGGUAAAAUCGGGUAGCUUAACUAUCUGCAUGCUAGGAAUACUGCUAUACUAGAGGGCGGGAGAGGUCUGAGGUACUACAGGGGUAGGGGUGAAAUCUUAUAAUCCUUGUAGGACCACCAGUGGCGAAGGCGUCAGACUGGAACGCGCCUGACGGUGAGGGACGAAAGCCAGGGGAGCGAACCGGAUUAGAUACCCGGGUAGUCCUGGCCGUAAACGAUGCAUACUAGGUGAUGGUACGGCCAUGAGCCGUAUCAGUGCCGUAGGGAAACCGUUAAGUGUGCCGCCUGGGAAGUACGGUCGCAAGGCUAAAACUUAAAGGAAUUGGCGGGGGAGCACCACAAGGGGUGAAGCCUGCGGUUCAAUUGGAAUCAACGCCGGA
rnacentral:rRNA from 1 species